UUGACCCUGGCUCUCUGACGAACGCUAGGCGGCGUGGAUUAGGCAUGCAAGUCGAACGGUUUUGAACAUCAUCUUAUCCGGCUUGCCGGAUAAGACGUUCAGAAUAGUGGCGAAAGGGUGAGUAAUGCAAGGGUAACAUGCCCUUAAGCUGGGGAUAACUCCGAGAAAUCGGUGCUAAUACCGAAUGUGGUCCUUUGAUGGAAUCAUUAGAGGACUAAAGAUGGGGACCCUUCGGGGCCUUUCGCUUAAGGAGUGGCUCUUGUCCUAUUAGCCUGUUGGUGGGGUAACGGCUCACCAAAGCAAUAAUGGGUAGCUGGUCUGAGAGGAUGAUCAGCCACACUGGGACUGAGACACUGCCCAGACUCCUACGGGAGGCUGCAGUCGAGAAUCUUUCGCAAUGGGGGAAACCCUGACGAAGCGACGCCGCGUGGAGGAUGAAGGCCCUCGGGUUGUAAACUCCUGUCACUUGGGAUGAAAAGUGGGGCCAUUAAUACCGGUUCUGCCUGACAGUACCUUGAAAGGAAGCUCCGGCUAACUACGUGCCAGCAGCCGCGGUAAUACGUAGGGAGCAAGCGUUGUUCGGAUUUACUGGGCGUAAAGGGUGUGUAGGUUGCUUGGUAAGUCAGUUGUGAAAUCCUUACUGCUCAACAGAAGAAUUGCAAUUGAUACUACCAGGCUAGAGUUCGGUAGAGGAGAGCGGAAUUCUCGGUGUAGCGGUGAAAUGCGUAGAUAUCGAGAAGAACACCAGUGGCGUAGGCGGCUCUCUAGCCCGACACUGACACUGAAACACGAAAGCGUGGGUAGCGAACGGGAUUAGAUACCCCGGU
rnacentral:rRNA from 1 species